AUUGAACGCUGGCGGCAUGCCUUACACAUGCAGGUCGAACGGCAGCACGGGUGCUUGCACCUGGUGGCGAGUGGCGAACGGGUGAGUAAUAUAUCGGAACGUACCUUAUUGUGGGGGAUAACGCAGCGAAAGCUGUGCUAAUACCGCAUAAUCCCUAAGGGGGAAAGCGGGGGACCGUAAGGCCUCGCGCAAUUAGAGCGGCCGAUACCUGAUUAGCUAGUUGGUGAGGUAAAGGCUCACCAAGGCAACGAUCAGUAGCUGGUCUGAGAGGACGGUCAGCCACACUGGGAGUGAGACACGGGCCAGACUCCUACGGGAGGCAGCAGUGGGGAAUUUUGGACAAUGGGGGCAACCCUGAUCCAGCAAUGCCGCGUGAGUGAAGAAGGCCUUCGGGUUGUAAAGCUCUUUUGUCAGGGAAGAAACACCGGCUCUAACACAGUCCGGGAAUGACGGUACCUGAAGAAUAAGCACCGGCUAACUACGUGCCAGCAGCCGCGGUAA
rnacentral:rRNA from 1 species